UAGACCAGGUGAGAUUCAUUCGCGUGGUAAAAAGCUGACAAGAACAAGCGCCUCAGGUCUCCAUACUUGAAGAUGAGGUGGGGGUUGAAGCAGACCGCGGUUACAGACGGAAGGAGGCGGUGGAGGGGGCCGGGUCGGAGGUAGACGAGGGCGUUGCCGAGGACGAGCCCCGCCGUCACCGGCGGGAUCCAGCCCAGCCGGUGGAACUCGUUGCCGGCGUGCAGCGCCAGAAGCGCCAGCAGCCCGUGCG
rnacentral:misc_RNA from 1 species